CCUGGAGCUACAGUGUCAGCCCGGUAAAGGCCCCCCCAAGCCCCCCAAGCCCCCACCUCCUACCCUCACCUCUCGCAUCCCACAGCCCCUCACCCCUUCCCCUCAGGCCAUCCCAGACCCUGCUCUGCUCCCAUUGGCUGUGUGACCUUGGGGCAUGUCCCCCCAAGUUCAUUCCUCUUUCUAGGCCUCAGUUUACCCAUCUCUGAGAAGGGAACAGUCAUCCCUGCCUUUUUCUUUUUUUUUUUUUCCAGGUUUUUUUUCCAAGUUUCACUUAUUUAUUUUGAGAGAGAGAGAGAGAGAGAGAGAGAGAGCACAAGCGGGGGAGGGACAGAGCGAGAGAGAGGCGAAUCCCAAGCAGGCUCUGUGCUAGCAGCGAGGAGCCCAAUUCAGGGCUCGAACCCAGGCCCAUAAAUAAAUAGGCUCUUACAAAAAUAGAUAAAUAAUUAUUUAGUGUGACAUUUCACGUCCUUUGUCCCCUAUUAAAUCUUUAGGAACCAGUGUGCAUUUCACACUGCUGACACAUGUGAAUUCAGACUCUCUUAGGAGGUGUGUCAACAGUUGCUGGGGGAGGGGACUCACCAACUCUAAAGGAUCAAUGGGAAAUCACAUAAUCAGAAGAUAAUGAGAGACUACGCCCUGUGAAAACAUGACUUCUUCAGCAUAGUAAGGUUUACUCUGUGGCCAAGUACAUAAUCCGUUAUGUAACUGACCCUGUCUUAGGAGGAAAAGGGGGGCAAAAAAUAGAUUAUUUUUUGGCAGGAUCCGAGUUGAAUCUGUGUGUACAUUAUUUUCUCCCCACCUUACUAUGAUAUUAUUUGGAGGUUCCUGUCCUGGUAUCUGUUACUAGAUCUGUCAGAUUGUUUGGUUUUUAUUUCUGUUUUCGUUUAGUAUUCUCUAUACCACCCCCGGGGCUGGAACUCACAGCCCCAGGAUCAGGACUCACGCACUCCACUGGCUGAGCCCAUCUGGUGCCCUUGAGAGGGAUGGUUAAACACUACCUUUUGGGGCGCCUGGGUGGUUCAUUCGGUUAAGCGUCCGACUUCCGCUCAGGUCAUGAUCUCACAGCUUGUGAGUUUGAGCCCUUCAUCAGGCUCUGGACCGGUGGCUCAGAACCCGGAGCCUGCUUCGGAUUCUGUGUCUCCCUCUCUCUCCCUUUCUGCCCCUUCCCAGCUCGCGCUCUCUCUCCCUCUCUAGGAUAAACAUUAAAAAAAAAUUUUUUUAAGCUACCUUCCAUCCUAAUUUUCUGUUUCUCCCCACACUUCCAAUCAUUUUGCCAUCUAAAUCAAGCUUCAUUUGUCAUUGGUACUUACAUUUAUGACUAUCCAUUCAUUUGACCACAUUUUAUGAACCAUGUCCUUGGUGACGACACAGCCCAGAGCAAGACCAAGUGCUUGCACAUGGGGGGCUGAUAUACUAAUUGAGGAGAAAGACGAUAAACAUGUAAGGAUAAUAAUUAAAGAGGAAAACAGCUGAGUAUAAGGACCCCUAUGCAGGCAAAUUACAACAGGGUGAUGGAAGCAUGGUCUGAGGUGGUUGGCUGGAAAGUCACUGAAAGUUGAGAAUGAGGGAACAGCCGGUGCAAAGGCCCUGAGGCAGAAACCUGCCUAUGUGUUUAAGGAAGAGUGAAGGGACACAUGUGGCUGGAGCCCAGUGGGUGAAGGGAAGAGAGAAUGGGGUGAGCGUGUACAGGGAAGGGUCUUUGGCCGUUUUAUUAUCUGCCCAUUUGUCAAUUUGUCAUUUGGCCAGAUAUUUAAUUUAUGAAAUUAAGCUAUUAUAAUGUUACUUAAUGAGCACUAAGUAGUAGGGUCUGGCAAUAAAUAAGACAGAUAAGGUUCCUGUCACCCGCAUGGAGCUCACAGCCGAUUGGAGGAAAAAGAGGAAUAAACAAAUCAAUACAUAAGCCCUAGAAAUAUAUUUCUCCAGGGGCUCCUGGGGGGCUCAGUCGGUUGAGCGUCCGACUUUGGCUCAGGUCAUGAUCUCGCGGUUCACGGGUUCGAGCCCCGCGUCGGGCUCUGUGCUAAUGGCUCAGAGUCUGGAGCCUGCUUCGGAUUCUGCGUCUCCCUCUCUCUCUCUCGGUCCCUCCCCUGCUCUGCCCUGCUCUGCCCUUCUCUGACCCAGCCCUUCUCCUCACUCCCCCAGCCUCCUCUCUCCCGGCAGACUCCUCCACCCCACUGCCCCCAAGGAGCCCCAGGGCCUUGGAGGCCACAGCCCUGCCAGCCCCUCAGGCCCCUCUGCUGCUCCUCCUGCUGCUGUUGCCUGUGGCUCUCUUGCUGAUGUCUGCUGCCUGGUGCCUGCACUGGCGAAGGAGGAGAUGGAGAACGCCCUACCCCAGGGAGCAGGUGAGCCAGCAGAACGGACAGAGGGCUUGGGGAGGUCUGAGGGGAUGACACUGACCCUGUGGAGGCCACAGGCGCUUACGCCUCCAGGCUCCGGGAUGUGCUGCCCCUGUGGCUCGUGGAGCAUUGACUCGGUUCGGUGAAUCCUUCACCAAGCCCAGCACUCUGGACUUUGUGUGUGUGUAGGGCAGGGGGGGGAGGGGGGGAGUAUGCUCCGGAUGAGGAAGACCACUCUGGGGCCAUGACGACCGGACAGACCGGAUGCUGGGCGAGGGUCCCGGGAGAGAGGACAAGGCCUGAGUCAGGGCCAGGACUGGCACCAUGGGGAUGGAGAGAAGGGGAAAGGCAGUUUCAAGAGUCAGGGAUCAAGAAGGACAGGGCGGGGGCACCUGCGUGUGGCUCAGUCAGUGGAGCACGCGAUUCUUGAUCUCGGGUUGUGAGUUCGAUCCUCACGUUGGGUGUAGCGAUUACUUAAAACGAAAACCUUAGGGGGCACCUGGGUUGCUCAGUUGGUUACGUGUCGAACUUCAGCUCAGGUCAUGAGCUCACAGUUCAUGCGUUCGAGGCUCGCAUCGGGCUCUGUGCGUGCUGACAGCUCAGAGCCUGGAGCCUGCUUGGGAUUCUGUGUGCGUGCGCGCGCGCGCGUGUGUGUGUGUGUGUGUGUGUGUGUGCGUGUGUGUGUGUCUGCCCCUCCCCCACUGGCACUCUGCUCUGUCUCUCAAAAAAUGAAGAAACAUUAAAAAAAAUUUUAAAUAAAAUAAAAUAGGGGCACCUGGGUGGCUCAGUCGGUUAAGCGUCUGACUUCGGCUCAGGUCACGAUCUCACGGUUUGUGAGUUCAAGCCCCGCAUCGGGUUCUGUGCUGACAGCUCAGAGCCUGGAGCCUGGGUCAGAUUCUGUGUCUCCCUCUCUCUCUGCCCCUACCCCCACCUGUGCUCUGUCUCUCUCUAUCAAAAAUAAAUAAAUGUAAAAAAAAAAAUAAAAGAUAAAAUAAAAUAAAAUCUUUAAAAAGCACAUCUUUAAAAAACAAGACAAAAAGAACAGGGCUGCAGGUUGACAGGCUUGGGCAGGUGGCACAGAGGACCCUGGGUCUGGCCCAGUGGGGAACCUGAGGGACAAGGGAGAUUAGGGAAAGAGAGUGAGCUCAGCGGGGACCUGGGUGCAUGAGGGGGCCCCAGGGGAGACAUUUGGCUACAGGAGUCUGCAAGCCAGGAGAGAGUAACCUCCUGAAGCAGGCGGAGGGGACCAUCUUUGCAAAGACUUCCAGGUGUGAAAAAGCUGUGAGCGGAGUGUGGGUGUGAAAAUCUAGGCCUCAAACACCAAGCAAGGGAGCUGGGACUUCCUGUCCAGGGUAGCAGGGAACCAGGGGAGGUGAGUGAUGGAAAAAAGAAGGUGAGAACAGGUGUGAAGGCAGGAGGCAGGUGGGCCAGGAGGGAGAAAGGACAGAAAGCCUUAGUGGGUUCCUGAUGGGCCCAGAGGACUCUAAGAAGCAGUUUGCAGUAAUUGUUCACACAUAUAAUGCCUUAGAGUUACGGCCCUUAUGCUGGGGCUUUCUACGAAUUAACCUACUUAAUUCAGAAGCUAGUGUCAUUUUUAUUUUGUUUCACAGAGGCUGAAACCAAGGCACAGAGAAGUAAAUAAUUUGCCGAAAGUCACACAGCACAUGAGUGACAGAGGCAAGACUUGACUCUGGGCUUUCUGGGCAUCUAAGCCUUUCCCUCUUCUGCCUCAGUUUCCUUAUCUGUACAAAAGACUCUAAUAAUAUUCUUUCUACCAUAGAGUUGUCUGGAGGUUAAGUGGCACACACAAAGCCCUCAGAGCAAGGCUGUCCAACAGAAAUAGAACACAAGCCACACAUGUCAUUUAAAACUUUCUAAUAGUUGGGGCACCUGGCUCUCUCAGUCAGUAGAGCAUGUAACUCUUGAUCUCAGGGUUGUGAGUUCGAGCCCCACAUUGGGCAUGUAGAUUACUUAAAAAAAAAAAAACAACUUUCUAGUAGCCACAUUUUUUUAAUUAAAUUUAAUUUUUUUUAGCGUUUAUUCAUUUUGAGAGGAGAGGGGAGGGGCAGAGAGAAAGGGAGAGAGAGAGAAUCCCAAGCAGGCUCCACACUGUCAGCGUGGAGCCCCAUGCAGGGCUCGAUCUCACAAACUGUGAGAUCAUGAUCUGAGCUAAAAUCAAAAGUCAGACGCUUAACACCCAGGCGUCCUGUAGCCACAUGUUUUUAAGUAAAAAGAAACAGGUAACUUUAAUAUAUUUUGUCUCACCCUGUGUAUCCAAGAUGUUGUCAUUUCAACAUGUAAUCAAUAUUUUUAAAAAUUAUUGAGGUAGUUUACUCAUUUUUUUAAAUGUUUAUUUUUGAGAGAGAGAGCAUGAGUGGGGUAGGGGCAGAGAGAGGAGGAGACACAGAAUCUGAAGCAGGCUCCAGGCUCCGAGCUGUCAGUACAGAGCCCGACGUGGGGCUUGAACUCCCGAACUUGGAGAUUAUGACCUGAGCUGAAGUCGGACACUCAACCCACUGAGCCACCCAGGUGCCCCAAGAUAGUUUACUCAUUCUUUCAUACCAAGUCUUUAAAAUCCAGUGUGCAUGCGACACUAAAUUUUUAUUAGAAAUGCUUCAUCUGUAGGGGCGCCUGGGGGGCUCAGUCGGUUAAGCGUCUGACCGGCUCAGGCCAUGACUUCACGGUUUGUGGGUUUGAGCCCUGCAUGGGGGGGUGGGGGGGAUGUGGUGACAGGUGUGGGGGUUGUGGAGCCUGGAGCCUGCUUGGGAUUCUGGGUCUCCCUCUCUCUCUGUUCCUCCCCUGCUCUGUCUCUGUCUCUCUCAAAAAUAAAUAAAGAUUUAAAAAAAAAAAAAAAAGAUCAUGACUUGAGCCCAAGUUAGACGCUUAACCAACAACUGAGCCGUCCAGGCACCCCUACAAUUUUUUUUUUUAAGGCCAUCCAUUGAGUUUUCCUCCCAUCCUUGCUCCUAUCCACUCUGCUUCCUGCUCUCCUAAGAAAUACACCACUGCCUAAGUUUAAAUUAGGUAAAAUGUAACAAUCAGCUCCUUAGUUGCCUUGGAAUGCUCACCUUCACAUGGGGCUACCUUGUGGCUGUGUUGGGAGAGCUCAGAUCCCGCUGCUCCCAUCACUGUCUGAGAGAACCGUCUUGUCUCGGACAGCGAUGCCCUAACACAGCGAGCGCUCACUGCAAAUGGAAUUGUUUUCAGUAGCCCUGCACUUGAUCCUCUCCUCUCCUCUCUCCACGGACCCCCCAAGCAGCCCCGUGAGACAGACACAUGUAUCAUCCCGUUUACAGAGGAAGACACUGAGGCCCAGAGAGAGGAAUCACCUGCCCGAGGACACAGAGCCGGGACUCGGAGAAAGUCAGCUAGAGACUGGUUCCUUCCUCGACCACGCUGCCCCGCUCACUCUCCCCCCAGGAUGGAGGCAACGCCAGCCCCCAACGCCAGCCCCAGACCCACCUAUCCCCCUCUGUACAAAGUCCUUGUCCCCAGGAAAUUGUAUAUAAAUCAUCCUUUUCUACC
rnacentral:lncRNA from 1 species